UACGUAGGGAGCUAGCGUUGUCCGGAAUCAUUGGGCGUAAAGCGCGCGUAGGCGGCCCGGUAAGUCCGCUGUGAAAGUCAAAAGGCUCAACCUUUGAAUGUCAGCGGAUACUGCCGGGCUAGAGUCCGGAAGAGGCGAGUGGAACUCCUGGUGUAGCGGUGGAAUGCGCAGAUAUCAGGAAGAACACCAACGGCGAAGGCAGCUCGCUGGGACGGAACUGACGCUAAGGCGCGAAAGCGUGGGGAGCGAACAGG
rnacentral:rRNA from 1 species